UGGUAUUGUAAUAUUUGGGCCAAAAUUCAUCUAGGUUUAGUUCAUCAGGGAAGCGUUAGUGUGGAUACCUAAUUAGGCGCUAACUGGAAAAUCGAUUUAUCAAGCAUCUCAAGCGUCUGGCUUCUUCAAUCUUGAUCUAAGCAACAACCACGCCUAAUUAAUGAAGAUGAAGAAGACGAGGCUUCUGCUUCUGUUGAAAGAUGAUCCGUGAUUAAAUUUAAAAAUCUUGAUCUAGUAUAAAGUAAACUCAGGGUUCUUUUCUCUCAUCCUGAUGGUGAUUGAGUUAAUCGGCCCUCCUAAAGUGCUAAUCCACUUACUGCUGAAGUGAAGUUGUUGAUCAAAGUUGUAGUUUUAUCGAUCCAGACUCAAACUGAAGUUGAUCAAGUUGUAGUUUUAUCGAUCUAGACCUACUAUAAGAUUCAUUAGUUUUCGAGGGUGUGGUUAUGGAUAGCCAACUUCAGGUUGUAUCCUUUUUGCUUUUACUGUAUCUUUUUGACUUUCAAUCUUUUUUUUUUCUUUAGUAUAAAUAUGAUUCUUAGUAAACUAGUAUUGGGUGCUCAAAGUAGAAAUCAAAAAAAGAGAGAACAACAUCUUACUAAUAAGUUACAAGGCUCUUUAAAUAGGAAUUUUGUUAGAGUUGAUGAACUUGAUAAUUCUUUAUUGAGUUACAAACUAUUGUAGGAAAUAUUGUUGGAUGAAGCCUAAAAAGGUGAACUUCUUUAGACAACUGUUCAAAUUAUGGAGUUUGUAAAGGAAAUGAACAUGUUUCUCAAUAAGUUUCAUAUUUUUGAAUAUGAAAAGUCAAUUUCUACUAA